rnacentral:lncRNA from 1 species
CUUUUCUUACUGUUAAUUCGAGUCCUUCUCCAGAUUUCAAACGAGCUCAUGGAAUCCACCAAUGGUGGAAACCUGGUUUGCAGUGCAAUUGUAAGCUUUACCAGUUUCGAUAAGAUUUGAUAUUAAUUGUUUGUGAAUUUUUAAAAGAUGUGGCUUAUGUAGCACAAAGUGUACAAAGCUGGGGUGCCAGCCAGAUUGGACAAUUUGAUUAAUUACAUAUGGAUCAAGAAGUUUUUUUGUCAUGGGAUGAUAUUAUUUGCAGUUAGAUUGUUUUCUGUUCCGUAUUGAGACUACCCAUUAAAACAUUAAAAGAAGAAAAAUACACACCUAUUUAUCCAUUUAGAAUUUAAAAUAAAUAUAACUUACCCUUUUUAACAUUUUGGUGUACUUGGGUGAAGUUCUUAAAGGGCUACGUUGUAUAUUGCUGAAUGUUGGCAUGUCAAGAAAUCAUAUGUCCAAAAGAUGAGAGUAAUCGAAAUAAAAAUAUUGAGAUAAAUAUGUAAGCAUAUUAGAAAAAUUAAGAUUAAAAUAAAAUAAUUAGGGACAAGAUGGAAGUGAUCUCGUGGAAGACGAAUUACGUGAAUCAAGGAUGAGAUAGUGGAAGACAAAUUGUGGAAUUAAAAUAGAUUUUGUUGUUGUUAUUGUUGGGUUAAGUAGUUGUCGUUAUUGAUACAGUUUUUAGUUUAAUCUGGUGAAAUGCUUGAUUCAAACUAGCUAUAAUUUUGGUAACGAUCCUUAUAACAUUAGCGAUUAUUUCAUUUUAUUUUUACUAGAAAAAAUUAUUAUUGGCAUAAUUUUGCAAUAAACACAAAUGUUGUGAAAAUAAAUUUUCAAUGGAUCAGGAUGCGAGUACUAGUCAUGUAAAUUAGUUCGUGCGAAGAAAGAAUAAUCAUAGGUGCCACGGAGAGAAAUUAAUUCAAUUUUAUCAUUUUGAGGCUUCAAUAAAAAAAUUUAUAAAAACUAUACAACUUUUUCUUGUUUUUAUUUUCUUGCAUUCUCUGUUAUCAAACUGUGUUCGAAAAUAAUUUCUGCACAAUAACGAAAACAGAAAUAGAAGAAUAAACAAUUCUGAGCCCAACAGAAAAUUAUGAUUCCUUAAUCAUCUCACUAUCACACCUUUUUUUUGUCACACAACCUUAUUACGAGGUUGAGUUAGAAGAGUUUUUCCAAUUAAAGUGACGUUUGAAAAAUAAUAAUUUAUUAUUUAGAGUCGUCACUUGAAAUUGAGUUUUAGUAUUCCAAGUCACCUUUUAUUUGAAUUCGUUUUCAAAAGAAAGGUUUGACUCUUAAUUUAUGGUCUACGAAAACAGAAGACUGAGUAAGGAAUUCUGUUGAACGAGGGAAAGGUGUAAGGACCCCUCAGGUCUCGUGGUUCUAGCAUGCUCGCUUCUAUUGAUUAAUGUAAGGCUUAAAUCAAUUUAAGCUACUCUUGUAUUUUAUUGAUUAUGGUUAUAUAUUACCGCUUCACUUAAUUUAUUAUAUUUUUUAUUAAUUAUUUUGACCAAGAUGCGAUACGCUAGUUUAUUGAUUAUGGCUUAUUUAUUACCGCUUCACUUAAUUUAUUAUAUUUUUAUUAAUUAUUUUGACCAAGAUGUGAUACACACACAUGGUACUUCCUUGAAAUUAAAUAUUAAACCAAGGUACGAAAUGUACACAUGGUUAUAACAUAAUUAUUUUAAAUUGAAAAGGUAUCAAGACGCGGAAUGCGCGCAUGAUCCUUAUUAUUUAAGCAUACCAAUCCAAGGUUCGGGUAUGAACACAUGAGGUAGCAUUUUAAAGUGCAUCUAAAAAUUUUCCAGCAUUUUUAGAGUAUUCUAUUUAUUUAUCUAUUUUAUUAUUAUUAUUUUUUAGCUGUUAUAUAAAUCUUAAGGUUUUAAGUAAAAUACAACUAAAAGAUGACCAUUGUCCUAGAAAAUAGAACCAAAUUAAUAAAGCUUUCUAUUGAUGCGUUAUAAUUUAAACAAACCUACAUAAUAUUAGAUUUAUCAUUAUCUGGAGACAUUUAUACAAAAAUAAGUAUGCAAAUUCCAGCCAUAUUUAUCAACAGAACUUAAUGUAAAACAAUAAUGUUAAUUAGUCAUCAUAUUGUUCUGUGUGACUACCUUGCCGUUUAUUGAUAUACACAUCUAUAUAAAUAUGAAUUUAAUUUAACUAUUAAAGAGCCAAAAUUUCAGCAACUUAAAUAAUAAACUAACACAUAUUCCAAUAAUAUUUUGUCAAUCAUGUUAUUUUAUGCCAAAAUAUAAUAAAACUUCUAAGAAAAAUAAACAAAACUAUAACGAAGUAAAAGAAAUUCUUUAGGCACUCCUCCUAAUUCAAGAAUUAGCAUGAAAGCUGCUCACCCGUACCCGUAUUAUUUAUUUAUUUAUAUAUAUAUAUANNNNNNNNNNNNNNNNNNNNNNNNNNNNNNNNNNNNNNNNNNNNNNNNNNNNNNNNNUAUAUAUAUAUAUAUAUAUAUAUAUAUAUAUAUAUAUUUCUAACAAAAUUUAGAAAAAUAAAUUAAAAUUCAAACUUUGCGAAGACAUGGAUCUCAUAUAUCAUGUUUAAACUGUAGCAAAAAGAUUGAGUGUUACCUUUUGUAAGGUUUCACAAUAAAGAGAAUAUGUAUGAUCUACUGCUUUCCAAAAUUAGCAAUAUUAACCUUUUUGAAACCACGAACACAGAACUGCGAACGAAAUUCCAGCCUCUUGUUUCAUUUCUUUCUUUCUCGUUUCUUUCCUUC